rnacentral:lncRNA from 1 species
ACGACCGGUUUGCCGCACAGGUGUAUGUAAGCAUUGUAGAUUACGUGCUAUAGAAACCCAAACUGAUAAUUAUUUUAUUUCUUUUUGCCAAGGCAGUUUACAUUACAAGCGGCUCGAUAGGGAGGCCUGUUUAAACUUUAUAUUUCAAUCAGUAGAUGAUAUGGACAUAUGAUACAGACGACAGCUGUCUAAACCAAUGCACAUGCCCUAAGCACAUAGGAGUAUUUAUCUAUUUGUAUCCAGUGUCACUUUUGCUCAGGUUAAUUAAUUUGAUUAAGAAGCAUCAUCUAAACAUCAGAUUUACAUUUUACCAUCACCGAUAUAGUACAAAAAAGCAACGUGGCUGCACCGUUCUUUUUUGGAGAUAAUGCAACAGUUUUUGUUCUUUGACAUAAACGUGGUUACAACAGUUAGUACUACUGGCAUUAAGAUUUGUUAGCUUAAAAUUCACAGCGCUACAGUCUCUUAGAUGUUGACGAAGGGCGUGCCGGUGAUGAACUCGGUGGUGGCGNNNNN